rnacentral:rRNA from 1 species
GUGCCUACGGGAGGCAGCAGUGGGGAAUUUUGGACAAUGGGCGCAAGCCUGAUCCAGCUAUUCCGCGUGUGGGAUGAAGGCCCUCGGGUUGUAAACCACUUUUGUAGAGAAUGAAAAGACACCUUUUAAUAAAGGGUGUUGCUGACGGUACUCUAAGAAUAAGCACCGGCUAACUACGUGCCAGCAGCCGCGGUAAUACGUAGGGUGCGAGCGUUAAUCGGAAUUACUGGGCGUAAAGGGUGCGCAGGCGGUUGAGUAAGACAGCUGUGUAAUCCCCGCGCUUAAUUAGGGUAUGGCA